AACGAACGCUGGCGGCAUGCCUAACACAUGCAAGUCGAACGAGACCUUCGGGUCUAGUGGCGCACGGGUGCGUAACGCGUGGGAACCUGCCCUUAGGUUCGGAAUAACUCCCCGAAAGGGGUGCUAAUACCGGAUAAUGUCUUCGGGCCAAAGAUUUAUCGCCUUUGGAUGGGCCCGCGUUGGAUUAGCUAGUUGGUAGGGUAAAAGCCUACCAAGGCGACGAUCCAUAGCUGGUCUGAGAGGAUGAUCAGCCACACUGGGACUGAGACACGGCCCAGAAUCCUACGGGAGGCAGCAGUGGGGAAUAUUGGACAAUGGGCGAAAGCCUGAUCCAGCAAUGCCGCGUGAGUGAUGAAGGCCUUAGGGUUGUAAAGCUCUUUUACCCGGGAUGAUAAUGACAGUACCGGGAGAAUAAGCUCCGGCUAACUCCGUG
rnacentral:rRNA from 1 species